rnacentral:other from 2 species
UGUUCCCUGGGUUGUUUGCCAGUCGAUAUGUCCUCGACCCUUUAUGCGACGCCCAGGAGGUCUUUUAUCAUGGUUGAUGUGCAUGUCCGAAUUCGGAAAGCCUAAUGCCGGUUAGGGACCACCGCCUUGAACCGCUGGGUUCAAGGGCCUAUCAGAACAGCGGCAAUUUGGGGAACGU